GAUGAACGCUAGCGGCAGGCCUAAUACAUGCAAGUCGAACGGUGUCUUCGGACAUAGUGGCGCACGGGUGCGUAACACGUAUGCAACCUACCUUACAUUGGGGGAUAGCCUUUCGAAAGGGAGAUUAAUACCGCAUAAGACAGUAGCUGGGCAUCCAGCAGCUGUUAAAGAUUUAUCGAUGUAAGAUGGGCAUGCGUCCAAUUAGCCAGUUGGUGAGGAAACGGCUCACCAAGGCAAUGAUUGGUAGGGGAACUGAGAGGUCAAUCCCCCACACUGGCACGGGGAUACGGGCCAGACUCCUACGGUAGGCAGCAGUAGGGAAUAUUGGGCAAUGGACGCAAGUCUGACCCAGCCAUGCCGGGUGCAGGAUGAAGGCGUUAUUCGUUGUCAACUGCUUUUAUACAGGAAGAAACGACUCUUGCGAGAGGCAUUGACGGUACUGUAUGAAUAAGCACCGGCUAACUCCGUGCCAGCCGCCGCAGUAAGAC
rnacentral:rRNA from 1 species